CCUGGCUCAGAACGAACGUUGGCGGCGUGGUUGAGGCAUGCAAGUCGAACGAGAAAGCGGUCUUCGGACCGUGAGUAAAGUGGCGAACGGGUGAGUAACAGUUGGAUAACCUACCCUGAAGAUGGGGAUAACGGCGGGAAACUGCCGCUAAUACCCAAUAAGACUACUGGUAUACGUAUCAGUAGUAAAAGGAUACCGCUUCAGGAGGGGUCCAAUUCUUAUCAGUUAGUUGGUGAGGUAAUGGCUCACCAAGACUACGACGGGUACCUGGUCUGAAAGGAUGUCCAGGCACAUUGGAACUGAGACACUGUCCAAACACCUACGGGUGGCUGCAGUUCGGAAUAUUCCACAAUGCACGAAAGUGUGAUGGAGCGACGCCGCGUGCGUGAUGAAGGCCUUCGGGUUGUAAAGCGCUUUCAGGAGGUAGCAAAUGGAAACUUGAGUUAAACUCCAAAAGAAGGGGCGGCUAACUACGUGCCAGCAGCCCGGUAAGACGUAGGCCCCAAACGUUGUUCGGUGUUACUGGGCUUAAAGGGCUCGCAGGCGGCUUGUUCAGUCAGAUGUGAAAUCCCGCGGCUCACCCGCGGAAGUGCAUUUGAUACUGACAAGCUUGAGGAGUGCAGAGGCAAGGGGAAUUCUUGGUGUAGCGGUGGCAUGCGCAGAUAUCAAGGAGAAGACCGGUGGCGAAGGCGCCUUGCUGGGCACUUCCUGACGCUCAUGGGCGAAAGCGUGGGUAGCGAACGGGAUUAGAUACCCCGGUAGUCCACGCCGUAAACGAUGUGCAUUGGAUAGGGGGGGACCCAACUUUCCCUAUCGUAGGGAAACCGUUAAAUGCACCGCCUGGGGAGUAUGGUCGCAAGGCUGAAACUCAAAGGAAUUGACGGGGGCUCACACAAGCGGUGGAGCAUGUUGCUUAAUUCGAGGCAACGCGAAGAACCUUACCUGGGCUUGACAUCAACGGAUUAGCUUUGUGAAAGCAGAGUGACGCCUUUCCGGUGGAACGUUGACAGGUGCUGCACGGCUGUCGUCAGCUCGUGCCGUGAGGUGUCGGGUUAAGUCCCUUAACGAGCGAAACCCCUAUUGUUAGUUGCCAGCGCGUAAUGGCGGGGACUCUAGCAAGACUGCCGGUGAUAAACCGGAGGAAGGCGGGGAUGACGUCAAGUCAUCAUGGCCCUUAUGCCCAGGGCUGAAAACGUGCUACAAUGGGCGAUACAAAGAGGACCGAUACCGUGAGGUGGAGGAAAUCUCCAAAAUCGUCCCCAGUUCGGAUUGGAGUCUGAAGUUCGACUCCAUGAAGCCGGAAUCGCUAGUAAUCGCAGGUCAGCCAUACUGCGGUGAAUGUGUUCCUGAGCCUUGUACACACCGCCCGUCAAGCCACGAAAGUUGGGAGCGCCCGAAGACGUGCAUCUAAUCUGGAAAGCGUCCACGGUGAGACCGAUGAUUG
rnacentral:rRNA from 1 species